AACGAACGCUGGCGGCAUGCCUAACACAUGCAAGUCGAACGAGACCUUCGGGUCUAGUGGCGCACGGGUGCGUAACGCAUGGGAAUCUGCCCUUGGGUUCGGAAUAACAGUUGGAAACGACUGCUAAUACCGGAUGAUGACUUCGGUCCAAAGAUUUAUCGCCCAGGGAUGAGCCCGCGUAGGAUUAGCUUGUUGGUGAGGUAAAGGCUCACCAAGGCGACGAUCCUUAGCUGGUCUGAGAGGAUGAUCAGCCACACUGGGACUGAGACACGGCCCAGACUCCUACGGGAGGCAGCAGUGGGGAAUAUUGGACAAUGGGCGAAAGCCUGAUCCAGCAAUGCCGCGUGAGUGAUGAAGGCCUUAGGGUUGUAAAGCUCUUUUACCCGGGAUGGUAAUGACAGUACCGGGAGAAUAAGCCCCGGCUAACUCCGUGCCAGCAGCCGCCGUAAAAC
rnacentral:rRNA from 1 species